rnacentral:rRNA from 1 species
GACGAACGCUGGCGGCGUGCUUAACACAUGCAAGUCGAGCGGUAAGGCCCUUUCGGGGUACGACGAGCGGCGAACGGGUGGAGUAACACGUGGGUGGACCUGCCCUCCAGCUCUGGGAGUAAGCCUGGGAAACCGGGUACUAAUACCGGAUAUGACUCCAUGACGCAUGUUGUGGGGUGGAAAGCCUUGUGCGGCUGAGGAUGGGCCCGCGGCCUAUCAGCUUGUUGGUGGGGUGAUGGCCUACCAAGGCGACGACGGGUAGCCGGCCUGAGAGGGCGACCGGCCACACUGGGACUGAGACACGGCCCAGACUCCUACGGGAGGCAGCAGUGGGGAAUCUUGCGCAAUGGGCGAAAGCCUGACGCAGCGACGCCGCGUGAGGGAUGACGGCCU